AUGUUUGAGCUGUUCCCAUCCCCAUCUCCCCUUUUUCCCGCAGGGCUCCGGGCGGCCGUGACCCUGCUGGAGUCCGGGGGGGACCUCCAGCCCCCCGGGGGGUCCCUGCGCCUCCUCUGCCGAGGGUCCGGGUUCAAUUUCGAGGAUUUCAACAUGGGCUGGAUGCGCCAGAGGCCCGGGCAGGGGCUGGAGUUCGUGGCAGGGAUCAGCAACAAUGGUGGCAACAUCGGCUACGCGCCCUCGCUCAAGGGCCGGGUGACGAUCUCCAGGGACAACGGGCAGAGCUCGGUGACGCUGACCAUGAACAGCCUCAAGGACGAGGAUUCCGGAUCCUAUUUCUGUGCCAAGGGUGUUUACAGUUGUUGUGCCACUUCUGCUCCUGAUGUUGGGCGUG